AGAUUUGGACCAUAAUGUGUGUGCGCGUAUGUAACGAACCGUAAUGAAAGUGCUACCAUUACAACAAGAACAACAACAACAACAACAACAACAACAACGACUACUACUACCACGGCAACCCACAGGAAAUAAGGUAACGAAACGGGCACACUAUACACCACUGAGAACGAGGAGGAGAAACGGGAGGAGAACGGAAUGAGAGGAUAAGAGGGCAGAGAAGGACAACAGCGACUGAACAUAAGCACAGGAAAAUGCUGUCCCAACAGAUAAGUAAACCAGUAAGCUCAGCCUCCCCAUACCUGACCCGCUUCCCUAAUUGCCCCAACACCUGCUUGCCUCAUGGCCGCCUCACCUGCGCCGCUCCAAGGGGAUCAUGAAGGAGUAGAAUGGCGCAAGGAUAGUUUUCUGGCGCAAUCACUUGAUCGACACUCGCGACAACCUUGAGUGCGAGGAGAGAGAGAGUCGCUCGAAGGGAGAGUUGAUUGUGUGCUGCUCCUCGUGAAUAUAUUUU